UAUCAUGAGCAUAUCCUGAAAAAAUUAGCAAAAUUGGUUAAUUAUUUAAUUAAUUACAAGCAAUUUAAAAAAAAAAGUUUAGGACGGUAUUUCUCGAAAUUCGCUUUUUUGCAAAUUUUCAAUUAGUCUUUUGGGGCUGAAAUUUGAAGAUAUGACUUGGGGGCUGCUUUAAUUUUAACAUUUAAACCCUUUUUAACAUUAAAUAUUCAUUCGUUUCUUAUUUUUUAAUCAUAAAACCAAAAUAUUAGCAAACAAAAAUAUCCCCCGAAAUACGAAAAAUCUAAUAUUCACCAUAGGUUUGUACAGUGUAGGCCAAAAAAUAGGUGCUCUACAAAAGUUCUUUAAAAAAACAUUUUUACAUUGAAGCCACAGAAUAUACCAUACUCAAAUUGAUCUUUGAUAAUCCAGGCCUACUUUCCUGCAAUUGGUUUUUUAUUAAUUGUUAUGCUUUUUCCUUAAAAAGUGAUACAAAAAUUAAUUUUUCCCAUCAAUUCCCGCCAUUGGUACUUUUCUCACGUAGAGGGAGCUUCACACAAUAACAAACGAAUCAAAGUAACAGUAGAAACUAAACAAACAAAAGUAGAUUCAUUCCAGCGGGCAGUCAGCUCUUAUUAUUCAUUUAAAUGAAAAUUCAUGCAAAGGACCUGGAAAAUCUGCAGAAAUAAACCCUAGGACUACUCUGACCAACGGAGGUUGGUGGUUUGGCAGUUGAAGGCUUAAGAAACUUGCUGACCAUCCUGGGUACAACCCCAACAGUCAAUGCCUCUAGCUACGACAGGCACAUAGCCACUUUUAAAUCGAUAUCUCAAGAGACCAGCGAGGAACACAUGAAGAGGGCGGCGGUAUGCCUACAACAAAGGGCAAUGGACAAGGACCCGACCAUCAGG